GACGAACGCUGGCGGCGUGCUUAACACAUGCAAGUCGAGCGGUAAGGCCCCUUCGGGGGUACACGAGCGGCGAACGGGUGAGUAACACGUGAGUAAUCUGCCCUUCACUUCGGGAUAACCGCCGGAAACGGCGGCUAAUACCGGAUACGACCAGCCCCUGCAUGGGGUGCUGGGGGAAAGUUUUGGCGGUGGAGGAUGUGCUCGCGGCCUAUGAGCUUGUUGGUGGGGUAACGGCCUACCAAGGCUUCGACGGGUAGCCGGCCGGAGAGGGUGACCGGCCACACUGGGACUGAGACACGGCCCAGACCCCUACGGGAGGCAGCAGUGGGGAAUAUUGGACAAUGGGCGAAAGCCUGAUCCAGCAACGCCGCGUGAGGGAUGACGGCCUUCGGGUUGUAAACCUCUUUCAGUACCGACGAAGCGCUCCUAGGAGUGGUGACGGUAGGUACAGAAGAAGGACCGGCCAACUACGUGCCAGCAGCCGCCGUAAUAC
rnacentral:rRNA from 1 species